CAAGAAUCCGUUUGUUACUUCCAUAAUUUCGGAAAAUGUCUGUACCAAAAGAAAAGGUCUGAAAAAGGUCAAAGCCAAGUAAAUAACGACAGCAAGUCCGACCAAUGUAAUCCAACCAGCACUAAAUAUGAAGGACAUCAGCCUGGUUAUACUGGAACAGGAACUAAACCCGACCUGGAUAACCACUCUAACCAACUGAAUCCAAACAAUGAGAAAUGUAAGGGGUCGAAAUAACAAUGAAUAUUUACAGCACGUAUCAGUUUAUAUAAACCUGUGCGUGACAUUUACAGUAUGAGCAAUAUGAUAAAUAAAAUUAUUUCAAAUUAAA